GUGGUAUCCUGUCUGAAUAUGGGGGGACCAUCCUCCAAGGCUAAAUACUCCUGACUGACCGAUAGUGAACCAGUACCGUGAGGGAAAGGCGAAAAGAACCCCGGCGAGGGGAGUGAAAAAGAACCUGAAACCGUGUACGUACAAGCAGUGGGAGCACGCUUAGGCGUGUGACUGCGUACCUUUUGUAUAAUGGGUCAGCGACUUAUAUUCUGUAGCAAGGUUAACCGAAUAGGGGAGCCGAAGGGAAACCGAGUCUUAACUGGGCGUUAAGUUGCAGGGUAUAGACCCGAAACCCGGUGAUCUAGCCAUGGGCAGGUUGAAGGUUGGGUAACACUAACUGGAGGACCGAACCGACUAAUGUUGAAAAAUUAGCGGAUGACUUGUGGCUGGGGGUGAAAGGCCAAUCAAACCGGGAGAUAGCUGGUUCUCCCCGAAAGCU
rnacentral:rRNA from 1 species